AAAAGGAACAAAAUGGAUCUUGGGGAAGACUGCUGGACAUGUAAGGGAACCCCCUGUAAAUAUCUGUCACCUUAAACCCCCUAAAAU
rfam:Erinaceus europaeus unplaced genomic scaffold scaffold00048, whole genome shotgun sequence